rnacentral:rRNA from 1 species
AGAGUUUGAUCCUGGCUCAGGAUGAACNGCUGGCGGCGGUGCCUAACCCAUGUAAGUCGAGCGAUCCCGUUAGCAAUAAUGGGAGAGAGGCGGAAGGGUGAGUAACACGUAGGAGACCUACCUCAUCGCAGGGAACWACGGCGCGAAAGCGCCGCUAAUACCCAGAAGGCUCGUGGAUUCGUUUCCACGAGGAGAGUGCGUGCGCAAGCGCGAGCGUGAUGAGAGGGUCCUGCGGCCCAUCAGCUCGUUGGCAGGGUAACGGCCUACCAAGGCAACGACGGGUAGGGGGUCUGAGAGGACGAUCCCCCACACUGGAACUGAAACACGGUCCAGACGCCUACGGGUGGCAGCAGGGAGGCAUAUUGGUCAAUGGACGCAGGUCUGAACCAG